rnacentral:rRNA from 1 species
GCUUAACACAUGCAAGUCGAACGGUGAAGCCAAGCUUGCUUGNNGNAUCAGUGGCGAACGGGUGAGUAACACGUGAGCAACCUGCCCUGGACUCUGGGAUAAGCGCUGGAAACGGCGUCUAAUACUGGAUAUGAGCUCCUAUCGCAUGGUGGGGGUUGGAAAGAUUUUUCGGUCUGGGAUGGGCUCGCGGCCUAUCAGCUUGUUGGUGAGGUAAUGGCUCACCAAGGCGUCGACGGGUAGCCGGCCUGAGAGGGUGACCGGCCACACUGGGACUGAGACACGGCCCAGACUCCUACGGGAGGCAGCAGUGGGGAAUAUUGCACAAUGGGCGGAAGCCUGAUGCAGCAACGCCGCGUGAGGGAUGACGGCCUUCGGGUUGUAAACCUCUUUUAGCAGGGAAGAAGCGAGAGUGACGGUACCUGCAGAAAAAGCGCCGGCUAACUACGUGCCAGCAGCCGCGGUAAUACGUAGGGCGCAAGCGUUAUCCGGAAUUAUUGGGCGUAAAGAGCUCGUAGGCGGUUUGUCGCGUCUGCUGUGAAAUCCCGAGGCUCAACCUCGGGCCUGCAGUGGGUACGGGCAGACUAGAGUGCGGUAGGGGAGAUUGGAAUUCCUGGUGUAGCGGUGGAAUGCGCAGAUAUCAGGAGGAACACCGAUGGCGAAGGCAGAUCUCUGGGCCGUAACUGACGCUGAGGAGCGAAAGGGGUGGGGAGCAAACAGGCUUAGAUACCCUGGUAGUCCACCCCGUAAACGUUGGGAAACUAGUUGUGGGGACCAUUCCACGGUUUCCGUGACGCAGCUAACGCAUUAAGUUCCCCGCCUGGGGAGUACGGCCGCAAGGCUAAAACUCAAAGGAAUUGACGGGGACCCGCACAAGCGGCGGAGCAUGCGGAUUAAUUCGAUGCAACGCGAAGAACCUUACCAAGGCUUGACAUAUACGAGAACGGGCCAGAAAUGGUCAACUCUUUGGACACUCGUAAACAGGUGGUGCAUGGUUGUCGUCAGCUCGUGUCGUGAGAUGUUGGGUUAAGUCCCGCAACGAGCGCAACCCUCGUUCUAUGUUGCCAGCACGUAAUGGUGGGAACUCAUGGGAUACUGCCGGGGUCAACUCGGAGGAAGGUGGGGAUGACGUCAAAUCAUCAUGCCCCUUAUGUCUUGGGCUUCACGCAUGCUACAAUGGCCGGUACAAAGGGCUGCAAUACCGUGAGGUGGAGCGAAUCCCAAAAAGCCGGUCCCAGUUCGGAUUGAGGUCUGCAACUCGACCUCAUGAAGUCGGAGUCGCUAGUAAUCGCAGAUCAGCAACGCUGCGGUGAAUACGUUCCCGGGUCUUGUACACACCGCCCGUCAAGUCAUGAAAGUCGGUAACACCUGAAGCCGGUGGCCCAACCCUUGUNGAGGNAGCCGUCGAAGGUGGGAUCGGUAAUUAGGACUAAGUCGUAACAAGGU